GUGGUUGUGGCUCAGUGGCAGAGCACUCGCCUAGCUCAUGCAAGGCCCUGGGUUCAAUCCUCAGCACCACA
rnacentral:tRNA from 1 species